rnacentral:rRNA from 1 species
UACGGAGGAUGCAAGCGUUAUCCGGAAUCAUUGGGCGUAAAGCGUUCGUAGGUGGCUAUUCAAGUCUGCUGUCAAAGACUGGGGCUUACCCUUGAAAAUGCGGUGGAAACUAGUAGGCUAGAGUACGGUGGGGGCAGAGGGAAUUCCCGAUGUAGCGGUGAAAUGCAUAGAUAUCGGGAAGAACACCGAUGGCGAAGGCACUCUGCUGGGCCAAGACUGACACCCAGAGACGAAAGCCAGGGGAGCGAAUGGG